CGUGUGCUGUAACACAAUUUAAAAACUAUACAUAUAUAUAAUGCUAUAUGGAACACAUAUUAAGUUCGAACAACAUAGUGUUAAUAUUCACCACGAGAUGUCUCCCGAUAACCAUUUUCCAAAUUCUUGUGGAGGCGUAUCUUGUAAUGCGAACCUCCAACUUUCUGGUAAUUUGUCCCAUAAUUUGUCUUGAAAAAAAUCCUAUAUUUAAAAAAGACAGUCUAUAUAGUUUAAUAAAAUUAUCACUUAACAAUAUACUUUAUAAUGGACAAUACACAUCUACAUCGAAUUACUAUACAUCAGAAAAAAUACAACAUGGUAUUCGAAUACAACAUGCUGGUGAAUAACAUCCAUAAAAGAUAUAUCUUUACACAAUUGGAAAUCACUGACCAUUCUUUGCUCAUCUUGUUCGAUUCUCUUGGUCGUUGUUUGGACCUCUUACGCCAACAUAAGUGAAAGUUUUCAAGUAGGACGAGCGAAACGUCGAAUCCCGUUGGUGCGUGAAUAUUUGCUAAAUACUUAUCCCGGUGGUUACCUGGUCCAUCGAAAUCGUUAAAUGUCAAUGUACUCUGACUCUACUUCUCGUCUAAUUUUCCAAAAUUCACUGGACAAAUUGUCGAAUGAUUGUUAAAUAUUAAAGUUCAAAAGUGAAUAUUGAGAAGGAUCAAAAAGUCUACGAGGAAUUGUUUCGAACAAAUCCAUCUUACGAAUCGUAAGAUAGAUCAAUCUGGAAUUCACGUUACGCAAAUUUCUACCUUUCACAGCAACUGAACAUGAUUUACGGAAAAGAGUGCACGCGAUGUUUUCACAUCACAAUAUAAAAUUGUUGGAAAAUUUCUGAUUGUCUCUAUUAA